rnacentral:lncRNA from 1 species
UUUGCUAUUUACCGGAUACUUGCCGAUGGAAUGAUUAAAUGAUUAAUGAGAGGGAAGCAAGCAAACCCUGAAGGCAAAGCUUUACGCUCCCGAGGGCCAACCAGACUGUAGUUGAUACAUAAUGGAAUAUCUAAAUAAAUGAUCUGUAACAUUCACAGUGAUCUAAAAGAUACUAUGUUUGGAAACAAAAUUGUGCUUAAUCCAUGUCCAGAACUGUUCAAGCCACCUGAUUUUCAGCCUACAUCAUUGCCUUCCAUCGCCAAGUUAUGCUCUAUGAACAGAGUCCCUGAAAGAGGAAAAGAGCGUCAUGACGGUACCAACUUGGUUAUGUGAUUGUAUCAGAACUGAAAGCAAGAAUUGCACUUCGUAAAAAUAAUAUCACUCCAGCAAACAAAAGCAGUAGCAUCUCAGUAGCAUCAAACCAGGCAAGGUCCGCAUGAACUUCCAUAAUGGAUAGGAAAACCAAACAUAAAACACAUCGCCAACUAUCAUAGUGGAACAUCAUUCUCUUAAAAUUUGAUGAGAACCAAUGUGAUGCCCAGGAAAUGGUAGAAUUAUGGUGUCCGCAGUAUUCACCUUUUGUUUCUCGUCAGCCACUUUGAUCACUAUAACCACCCUGAUUCUAUAUGUUUAUUCUACAAUAGCGGAAUCAUGAUAAGUGCAAUUGAAUAAGCAGCAACAUAGAACACCAGGAUCGGUCAACAGUAGCUUGCAAAAUAAAAAACAAAACUACAAUUAAAAACUUAAUAAGCAACAAAUGGUAGCCGGUGCUAGAAUAAUAUAAUCCAACACAAUUGAUUGUUCACCUUUUACUAGUAAACUGGCACAGAAAAGCCAAUGUUAAAAGAAAAAAGACAAUCUUUUAAGGUAUAAUUUAUCUUGUUAUGGUUAUUUUUAGUCAAUUGGAUAGCAAAAUUCCAUCAAAAUCUUUAAGCUAAAUAUACCUUUUUUUUUGGUAAGAAGCUAAAUAUACCUUUAACCACCAUAAGAUCAACAUGAUAUGUUAAAAAAAGAUUGAAAGAGCAACAAAUCACCAUAAUUAUCUAUUGGAGUCCUAAUUUGCCAUCUGCAGUGAGACAUAGAUAUGAAAGAUAGGCAUUGAUGUAAAAUGGAUAAAUCUAAUUAUUCCUGUUCAAGCACAUCACUUCAGCAUCUUGGAAGAAAAUAAGAAGGAUUUAAUGGAGCAACAGGCACAAUGAGAGAGCACUGCUCAUCCACAAGUGUAGUGAUUCAACAAUGAAAAUCACAUCGAACAUCUGCAUUAAAUAAAGUUAAUAACAAAGUCAGACCUCAUGACACAUGAAUCACAGGCUCGAACACUAACUAGAAAUACCGAAUCAAACUAUCAUAAAAGCCUGCACAUGUAUAUCAGCCACAAAGAUAAAGCAGACAGUGGAAAUUGCAAUAAAUAGCUGCAUCCACAAGCAAGUUAGAUGAAGCCUGUGGAAGAAUCACAAUGCACCGUCUGAUAAAUACCAAGUAUUUGCUUCAAUCACCAGCCAAAAAUACCAAAUCUUUCAGAGAAGUAUCAGCAAAACAAACGGAAGCAAAAAUUAAAGUACAAAAUGCUUAUGGCCACGCAUUAGAAAUACAAAAUGCUUAUAGCCACAUUCUCUUGUCCACCAUACCGCUUACAUCUCUUCACAAGCCAAAUGAUUCCAUAACAAAAGAACGAAUAGAUAAAACCCCAUUCAAACCGAUAAGUUAAACUCCAAAUCCCCCUCAAACCAAGAAAAACAACAGGAAACAUGUUAAAAAAUAAUUCCAAUCACCAUUGAUGGUGUAAAAAAUAUGAUUCAAAUAAAAAAAAUCAAACAGUUUCAAAAGAUCGAAAAGAAACAUCCUUUUAAAAAUACCAGUUGUAAACCAAGGGUAAAACAGAGAAUAAUGUGAAAGACAUAUCAACAGGAAAGUAGAACCACCUCAAUCACUAAAAGAAUAUCUCAAAGAGACGAGAUACUUCUUCAAGUCUGAUCCCUGCACAACAGUUGUCUACAUGUGAUAAAGAUAAAGGGGAGUUCAAACUCCACAAUAAUUCAAACACCGUUAGACAUGUUAACAAUUCGAUCGAAAUAAACUACGAGAUUCUCAUAAAAUCAUAGGACAGUUAGUUCUAUCAACCUGUUCAUAAGGAAAUGAUCUAACACCAUCAAUGGAAAUUGGCAUGAAAACAAACUCUGAAAAUUAAAAUAAAUCAUCAAAACCUCCUAAGAUUUAAUAAAUCACACAGGGCAAGUCCUAGAACCAGAUGAUCAUCAGAAACUAGAACUUGACAAAUCACAGCUAUGAUAAGAAAUAACAACACCAUACAACCUUAAUACCGGACUAGAAAUUCAGAACCAACCAAACCCGUACUCGAAACCAAGAACCAUCACUGGAAUCCAAAAAACACCGAGACCAAACAAGAAAUCAAGAACACAUAACCCUAAAACCAGAAUAGAAAACAAGAACCAACUAAAACCGAAGCGGAAACCAACCACCAUCUCAGGAAUCCAAAGAAUGCCGAAAUCAAAAUAGAAAACAAGAAACGAGUAAUCAAGAAACGCAUCAAGAAUGCAAACGAAAGGAAGAAAAGAUACGAAAGAGGGGACGGAUCGCUUGCCUCCUCGUCGUCGUUCUCGUCUUCCAGCGGUGGCGGAGUUUGGUAGCGGGAUCAACGCUCCAGGGACGCGACGCGAAGAAGAAGGCCGACCCAGGUUUGUAACGGCUCGGCUCGUCAUCUCUUCAAGCCUCUCGCACGAAAAAGAGCUCAAGUUCUCCAACCUCAGGGCGGUCCCAUCGCAGGAUCCCGAAGGAUCGCUGAAAGGGAAGGGGAGAGAGCGGGAGGGCGGGUUGAAGUCCCCCAGGGAAGGAGUAAAUGUUCGUUGCUACGGUGCCUCCCAGGGAAGAGGGUUCAUCUCGGUUACCCUCACCUCCACG